CUCAUCUUGUUGUCAUCUUCAUUUGACGUGGUGCGCUUAUUAUUGACACGAUUGCACGAGAAAUUCUUCCUCCUCUUUCCUUUUCUUGGCCAUCAAACCUCCCAUUCUUGUGCAACAAGAUCCAAUAGUUCUAGAACAUGCAUCUUGCACAUCUUCCAAAAUCCAGAAUUCAGAAAGCAAAUAAAGCUCUCCAUAUGGUUUCAACUUGCAUAGCUUUCUCUCGUUAUCCCAUAAACAUCCACAUGGAGCAUUUGCCUGGGGCAAGGAACCAUGUCAUAUAUCUUCAUCAUCACAGCUUAGAAAUAAAUAUCUGGCGUUUUGUGCUGCUAAUCUGAGGCCUCAUGGUGACGUAAUUCUUGAAGCAACAAUUUACAAAUAUGGCUCUUGGAAGAUUAAAAGACUUAAUGAUUUAUUGAUUAAUCAUUGCUUUCUGUUAUCUUUAGAGGAUACUGCUUGUGCUUUUAUGACAAACUCCAUAACAUAUUUUCCGUAGUGGGUCAAAAUUAGUGAUGAAACUCGAUGAUUUAGUAGUUCUUCAAUUUUUGAUAUGGUGAGGAAUUCUUGUUAGCUCUUGUUCAUCCGUAUAAGUUGAUGAUUUGCAAAUUUCAAUCUGCUCGUUUAUAUUUGAGCUUGUCUCCCAUUUGUUCACACAUGUAGUCAUUUAAUUCAAUCGACA